UCUCGCUUGCUUCUGUCCAUAAGGCCCCCUCGGAGUCACUCCAUCUGGUAAUAGCUUCUUUCAUGGUUCAUUCAUAAAACCCUAAAAUUGGAAGAUUAGAAAACCUUAAUUUAAGAUAUUUUCGGUGAAAUGUUUUUUUUUCUCAUUAUGUUUUUGUUGAAGUUUUCUUUAAAAUCGUGGAAAAUAGGAUAAUGUGAGUAAAGCCCAUGAAAGACUUACUCACUCACACUCGUCAAUGGUGAGGUAGUGGACGAAGCAUAACGAACGAGGAACCCUAGGUUUUGGUGUCGAAGAAGGAAAGUGUCGAACAAACCCAAAAUUUUAGUGUUUGUUCGGUGAAGGUUAAAGAUCUGGCGGUGCAGGUGGUUUAAUCGGUGAAAUAGUCCGAUUAAUCGGUGGAAUGAGUGGUUGAUCGGUGGAAAGGUUUCGAAUAUGUGCAGAGGAAGUUCUAAACGGGAGAAUGAAAGAUAUGGUUCGAUGAGGAUGCGAGAGAAUAACAAUUCAUUCAAAUUUUCUCGUUAUAAGCCAGUAAUUCUUUGGCUUCUGAAGGAACCUGCCGCGAAGACUACCUUAGGUUAAACAAGGUGUGUUCUUUUAUGAUAGAAAAUCUUUU
rnacentral:lncRNA from 1 species